GUCUGCCAUAAAACCUUAAAGAAGAACAAGAUGAGAGCAAAGCAGUUUAACUGUACUGUUGUAGCUGAAAACAUUUCAUAUCAUACAAAGGAACAGUAGCUUCCACAAUGGAUCGGGACAAAGCUAGCCUGUCCCCCUCCACCCCCCAGGAGUCCCCAGGUCAACUGCCUCUCCGUACUUUACUGCUGGUUCUGGUCGACUGCAGGAAAACACCGGGGCAGAGUGGAACUAAGAGACUGGAAGGAGAAGAGGAACAUGGAGAUGUGAUUUCAUUAAGUAAGAACCAUGGUGUGUGGAUUAGUCUGCUUCUGGGACAUCCCUAAUCGUUGCUCUCUCAGUGGGAGGGGCUUAUCAUCUGGGGAGCCUCAACAUCAUGAUGCUGACAAGAUAUGGAGUCUCUCCAUAUCAGAACACCUCAAGAAACACCAGCAUAGAGGUAUAGGGAAGAAACCUCACUACUGCUGCUCUGACUGUGGGAAGAGUUUUGCUAAACAGGACUUGACAAAUCAUGAGCAAAUUCACACUCUAGAGCAUGCAUCUAAAACCUUAAAAUCUCAUCAGAGAAUUAAUUCAGGGGAGGGACCUUAUACCUGCUUGGAUUGUGGGAAAUACUUAAACCAGUCAGGAGCCCAGACUAAACACAAACACACAGGAGAGAAGCCUUAUAGCUGUGUUCAGUGUGGGAAGAGCUUCAGUCAAUCAGGAAACCUGACUACACACCAACUCAUACACACAGGAGAGAAACCUUAUAGCUGUGAUGAGUGUGGGAAGAGUUUCAAUCAACCAGGAACCCUGACUGCACACCAACGCAUACACACAGGAGAGAAACCUUAUAGCUGUGAUCAGUGUGGGAAGAGCUUCAAUCAAUCAGGAUCCCUGACUCUACACCAACGCAUACAUACAGGAGAGAAGCCUUAUAGCUGUGUUCAGUGUGGGAAGAGUUUUGCUCGUUCAGGGUCACUGAUAAAACACCAGAAAGCACAAACAUGUUUUCUUUCAUCUCCCUUCUCUCUGGCACCAGUUCCAAAUCCCUAAAUAAAGUUUACAUAGAAAACAUCUUGUAAACAGUCAUCCAUCUCCCAUUCUCUAACACUUUACUAAGUCUGAUUGCCAUGCUAACAUGUGUAGCAUAAUAUGCAGCUAUGGAUCCGUAUGUAACAAGCGUCUUGGAGUAGAAGUGCUGUGUGUGUGGUGGGGUGGGGGAGGAGGUGUUCAGAGCUAUAUCUUUUAUUUUAUGAACUCAUAUUAUCCAUUAAAUAAUGUAUAAUAAAAUGUUAAACCAAUGGUAGGUGUAUAUUCAUGUGUGGGGGAAAUGUUAUCUGAAGAGAGAGUCUUUGCAUUGUACAUCAUGUCUCAUACAGUCUUUGCUUCCUGUAGGUGCUGGGUAGAGAUAUGAGGGGGAGACGGUCAUGACCCCCUCAUACCUUUUGGCAGAACACUCAGAAUAUGUUCUAUAAGUUGCAUGCAGGAACCAAAUGUUAAUGAUGAUUAAUGUAAAUCAAGCAAAUAUAACUUGUCUGUGUAAGCAGUAUAUAAGAGGACUAACGGGACUGCCCCGAAAGAGCUCCUGACCGACGUGUACUAUGGUGCAGUAAGUUUGUUGGAAUCUCUCCAGCUGGCUGAUAAUAAAUAAUUAUUAAUUUAA